rnacentral:rRNA from 1 species
GCAAGCGUUAAUCGGAAUUACUGGGCGUAAAGCGCGCGUAGGCGGCUUGUUAAGUCGGAUGUGAAAGCCCCGGGCUCAACCUGGGAACUGCACCCGAUACUGGCAAGCUAGAGUACGAGAGAGGGGGGUAGAAUUCCAUGUGUAGCGGUGAAAUGCGUAGAUAUAUGGAGGAAUACCAGUGGCGAAGGCGGCCCCCUGGCUCGAUACUGACGCUGAGGUGCGAAAGCGUGGGUAGCAAACAGGAUUAGAUACCCUGGUAGUCCUAGCCGUAAACGGUGCACACUUGCUAUGAGCGGAUUCGACCCCGUUCGUGGCGUAGCUAACGCGUUAAGUGUGCCGCCUGGGGAGUACGGUCGCAAGAUUAAAACUCAAAGAAAUUGACGGGGGCCUGCACAAGCGGUGGAGUAUGUGGCUUAAUUCGAUGCAACGCGAAGAACCUUACCUGGCCUUGACAUGUUUGUGGUAAAACCCUGAAAGGGGAAUGACCUCGCAAGAGGAGCUUACACAGGUGCUGCAUGGCUGUCGUCAGCUCGUGUCGUG